rnacentral:rRNA from 1 species
UACAGAGGUCGCAAGCGUUGUUCGGAUUCAUUGGGCGUAAAGGGCGCGUAGGCGGCGGGGCAAGUCGGGUGUGAAAUCUCAGAGCUCAACUCUGAAACUGCACUCGAUACUGCUUUGCUUGAGGACUGGAGAGGAGAUUGGAAUUCACGGUGUAGCAGUGAAAUGCGUAGAUAUCGUGAGGAAGACCAGUGGCGAAGGCGGAUCUCUGGACAGUUCCUGACGCUGAGGCGCGAAGGCCAGGGGAGCAAACGGG